GACGUAGGGGGCCAGCGUUGCUCGGAAUCACUGGGCGUAAAGGGUGCGUAGGCGGGUUUUUAAGUCAGGGGUGAAAUCCUGGAGCUCAACUCCAGAACUGCCUUUGAUACUGAAGAUCUUUGAGUCCGGGAGAGGUGAGUGGAACUGCGAGUGUAGAGGUGAAAUUCGUAGAUAUUGGGAAGAACACCGGUGGCGAAGGCGGCGAACCUGGUCCGAUACUGACGCUGAGGCGCGAAAGCGUGGGGAGCAAACAGG
rnacentral:rRNA from 1 species